rnacentral:rRNA from 1 species
GACGAACGCUGGCGGCGUGCUUAACACAUGCAAGUCGAACGGAAAGGCCCUGCUUUUGUGGGGUGCUCGAGUGGCGAACGGGUGAGUAACACGUGAGUAACCUGCCCUUGACUUUGGGAUAACUUCAGGAAACUGGGGCUAAUACCGGAUAGGAGCUCCUGCUGCAUGGUGGGGGUUGGAAAGUUUCGGCGGUUGGGGAUGGACUCGCGGCUUAUCAGCUUGUUGGUGGGGUAGUGGCUUACCAAGGCUUUGACGGGUAGCCGGCCUGAGAGGGUGACCGGCCACAUUGGGACUGGGAUGCGGCCCAGACUCCUACGGGAGGCAGCAGUGGGGAAUAUUGCACGAUGGGCGGAAGCCUGAGGCAGCAACGCCGCGUGCGGGAUGACGGCCUUCGGGUUGUAAACCGCUUUCGCCUGUGACGAAGCGUGAGUGACGGUAAUGGGUAAAGAAGCACCGGCUAACUACGUG